rnacentral:rRNA from 1 species
ACGUAGGUGGCAAGCGUUGUCCGGAUUUAUUGGGCGUAAAGCGAGUGCAGGCGGUUUUAUAAGUCUGAUGUGAAAGCCCUCGGCUCAACCGAGGAACUGCAUCAGAAACUGUAAGACUUGAGUGCAGAAGAGGAGAGUGGAACUCCAUGUGUAGCGGUGGAAUGCGUAGAUAUAUGGAAGAACACCAGUGGCGAAGGCGGCUCUCUGGUCUGUAACUGACGCUGAGGCUCGAAAGCAUGGGUAGCGAACAG